rnacentral:lncRNA from 1 species
GUCUCAAUCUAAUAGACAAUCAAAAUAAAAUUUCAAUAUUAAAUGUAAAUUUUAUUAAAUAUAGUACAAAAUACAAUAUUUCAGUGAAUUUUUCCCUGUGAAAUGAAACACCUUUGGGUAAAGGAAAACUGCACAGCUCCUUGGUUGGAUUGAACACAGACACAGCUGAUGUCCAAUUAUCACUCCACUGGGAUCCUUCUUCCAUCUCAGAAAAUACAAUAAAUCAAUGGCACUGAAAUUUAGCAGACAUCUGAAUGAAGACAUCAAAUUCACACAUUUCUCACACUUUGAACACUUGAGAGGCAUGCCCUGACAGAGUUUUAACAUAUCAAGAUUGGAACAAUUCAGACCAGAUGCUCUGGACAGAACACUCGCCCAGUAAACACAUCUCCUCUGAUGAGCUGAUACCAACUUCUGCCUCGUGUCUCCAAGGCCAAUAGACAAUAGUAGGUUAUUCUCACCCAAAGUAGCAGUUUUCCCUUUUGUCUUUAAAAUGUUCCC